rnacentral:rRNA from 1 species
AACGAACGCUGGCGGCGCGCCUAAUACAUGCAAGUCGAGCGAGAAGACGUAGCAAUACGUUUGUAAAGCGGCGAACGGGUGAGGAAUACAUGGGUAACCUACCCUCGAGUGGGGAAUAACUAGCCGAAAGGUUAGCUAAUACCGCGUACGCUCCUUGGACUUCGGUUCAGGGAGGAAAGCGAUACCGUGGGUAUCGCGCUCUUGGAUGGGCUCAUGUCCUAUCAGCUUGUUGGUGGGGUGAUGGCCUACCAAGGCGACGACGGGUAGCCGGCCUGAGAGGGCGACCGGCCACACUGGGACUGAGACACGGCCCAGACUCCUACGGGAGGCAGCAGUGGGGAAUCUUGCGCAAUGGGCGAAAGCCUGACGCAGCGACGCCGCGUGAGGGAUGACGGCCU